rnacentral:rRNA from 1 species
CGUGUAGGCGGUCAGGUAAGUGGAAUGUGAAAUGCCCCGGCUCACCCGGGGACCGGCAUCCCAAACUGCCUGGCUUGAGUAUGGGAGAGGGUGGAGGAAUUCCUGGUGUAGCGGUGAAAUGCGUAGAUAUCAGGAGGAACACCGGUGGCGAAGGCGUCCAUCUGGCCCAAUACUGACGCUGAGGCGCGAAAGCUAGGGGAGCAAACG